rnacentral:rRNA from 1 species
AUUGAACGCUGGCGGCAGGCCUAACACAUGCAGGUCGAACGGUAGCACAGAGGAGCUUGCUCCUUGGGUGACGAGUGGCGGACGGGUGAGUAAUGUCUGGGAAACUGCCCGAUGGAGGGGGAUAACUACUGGAAACGGUAGCUAAUACCGCAUAACGUCGCAAGACCAAAGAGGGGGACCUUCGGGCCUCUUGCCAUCGGAUGUGCCCAGAUGGGAUUAGCUAGUAGGUGGGGUAACGGCUCACCUAGGCGACGAUCCCUAGCUGGUCUGAGAGGAUGACCAGCCACACUGGAACUGAGACACGGUCCAGACUCCUACGGGAGGCAGCAGUGGGGAAUAUUGCACAAUGGGCGCAAGCCUGAUGCAGCCAUGCCGCGUGUAUGAAGAAGGCCUUCGGGUUGUAAAGUACUUUCAGCGAGGAGGAAGGCGUUGUGGUUAAUAACCGCAACGAUUGACGUUACUCGCAGAAGAAGCACCGGCUAACUCCGUGCCAGCAGCCGCGGUAAAAGGG